rnacentral:rRNA from 1 species
GACGAACGCUGGCGGCGCGCCUAACACAUGCAAGUCGAACGAGCGAGAGAGAGCUUGCUUUCUCAAGCGAGUGGCGAACGGGUGAGUAACGCGUGAGGAACCUGCCUCAAAGAGGGGGACAACAGUUGGAAACGACUGCUAAUACCGCAUAAGCCCACAGCUCGGCAUCGAGCAGAGGGAAAAGGAGCAAUCCGCUUUGAGAUGGCCUCGCGUCCGAUUAGCUAGUUGGUGAGGUAAUGGCCCACCAAGGCGACGAUCGGUAGCCGGACUGAGAGGUUGAACGGCCACAUUGGGACUGAGACACGGCCCAGACUCCUACGGGAGGCAGCAGUGGGGAAUAUUGCACAAUGGGGGAAACCCUGAUGCAGCGACGCCGCGUGGAGGAAGAAGGUCUUCGGAUUGUAAACUCCUGUUGUUG